ACCGGGUCAAUCCACUGUCGUGAC
rnacentral:siRNA from 1 species